GCUGACUACCUAUUCAAAUGCCCUUUAGUAAAGGCAGCCAAAAGUGAGCCGGGCCUCUGCACACAGUCUGUACGUCACCAUAGCAACCCUUGUCAACCAGGAAGUCCUGUAGUGCUGGAGUGAGUAAGAGAGAGAGAGUGAGAGUGCAUGUGUCUGUCAGAAUGUGAGAGGGACUUAACAGAGGUGAAGCAGACGGGAGUAAAAACCAGUGUAGAGAGAAAAAACUGACUGAAAGCGGACAGAGAGAGGGAAGAAAGAACAGAAAGAGCAUUUUAUACAAAGCAGACCAAGCAGCUCUUUGGGAAUUGCGUGUGUUGUCUUGAGAAAUCUGUGUGUCACACACUUACACACCAACACAAACCGGCAGUGAGUCUGAGUGAUUACUGACCAGGAUCCCUGCAGAUGACAUGCAGUCUCAAAAAAGAGUGGAGGUGCAUGACCAUCUCAAUGGCUCGCGGAUCAUUUUCUCGGAUGAGGCUCUUCCCGGCAGUGGAUCAAGACAGCACUUCAUGGCUCCGAAUAUGACCCAGGAAGUAGUCGUAAUCUCUCCUGGUCUUCCUACACCUCCCUCAAGUCCGUUCCACAACAGUUCAGCCCCUGCAUCGUCACAGCACAAGGCAAGAGUACAGCUGUAACACAUUACUGCUGCAGACAUUAUUCCACAUGUGUGUUG
rnacentral:lncRNA from 1 species